CAGCCGCCACGGUAAUACGUAGGUGGUAAGCGUUGUCCGGAAUUAUUGGGCGUAGAGGGCUCGCAGGCGGUUUCUUAAGUCUGAUGUGAAAGCCCCCGGCUCAACCGGGGAGGGUCAUUGGAAACUGGGAAACUUGAGUGCAGAAGAGGAGAGUGGAAUUCCACGUGUAGCGGUGAAGUGCGUAGAGAUGUGGAGGAACACCAGUGGCGAAGGCGACUCUCUGGUCUGUAACUGACGCUGAGGAGCGAAAGCGUGGGGAGCGAACAGGAUUAGAUACCCCCGUAGUCCCUGUCUCUUAUAC
rnacentral:rRNA from 1 species